rnacentral:rRNA from 1 species
GACAGAGGGUGCAAACGUUGUUCGGAAUUACUGGGCGUAAAGCGCGUGUAGGCUGCUUGGCAAGUCGGGUGUGAAAGCCCUGGGCUCAACCCAGGAAGUGCACUCGAAACUUCCGAGCUCGAGUUCUGGAGAGGAUAGCGGAAUUCUCGGUGUAGAGGUGAAAUUCGUAGAUAUCGAGAGGAACACCGGUGGCGAAGGCGGCUAUCUGGACAGAAACUGACGCUGAGACGCGAAAGCGUGGGGAGCGAACAGG